GACGAACGCUGGCGGCGUGCUUAACACAUGCAAGUCGAACGAAGUGUCGAACGCGUGAGUAAUACGUGGGUAACCUGCCCUCCUUUUUGGGAUAAGCUUUGGAAACGGGGUCUAAUACCGACUAACGGGGGAUGGGCUCGCGGCCUAUCAGCUUGUUGGUGGGGUGAUUGCCUACCAAGGCGGUGACGGGUAGCCGGCCUGAGAAGGUGACCGGCAACAGUGAGACUGUGAUACGGCCCAGACGAGGAAGGGAGGCAGCAGUGGGGGAUAUUGCAGAAAGGGUGAAAGACUGAUGCAGCGACGACGCAGGGGGGAUGAGGGCUUUCGGGUUGUAAUCCUGUGUCGCUAGCGAAAGGGUAGGUGGAGAAGAAGCGCCGGCUAACUACGUGCCAGCAGCCGCGGUAAUAC
rnacentral:rRNA from 1 species